GGGGAGAGGUGUAAGUGGAAGACGAGACACCUCUCCCGCGUGUGCUACCAGCAUCGAGAUGUUUACACGGCGGAAGAGAUACUCAAAAUGGUAAACAGAAGGCGGCCGAGGUGUCAGGCUUUGACCCUUAAAGGGCUGCAGUGUAGCCGUGAUGCUACGAGGCAGUAUGUUAUUCAAUACUGCACCCAACACUAUUAAGUAGAAUAUGAGGGACCUAUUGAAGCAUAGCUGAGGAAUAGAAAGAGUCCCUCAGGAAUAGCAGGAAGGCUAGGUGAGAAAGUGCGUCGUUAUCGA